rnacentral:sRNA from 1 species
GCCAGGCAUCUUGGUGAAUGCCUGUAAUCCCAGCAGCUUGGGAGGCUGAGGCAGGAGGAUCAUGAGUUCAAAGCCAGCCUCAGCAAUUUAGGGAGGCCAUAAGCAACUUAGCAAGACCCUGUCUCUA